CUGGGGUCGGCCAGGUGGCUCAGGGCUCUCCUCUGGAGCAAGCCGGCGUCCCAGCCCUCCGCCAAGGUACACACCUCGGAGGACUGGCAGCACAGGCUGGGCCCCGCCAGGUGCCUGCAGCUCCGCCACCACGCCCCCCCUCAGAGCCGCCCCGGAUCAGGGGGGCUGCAGGAUGAAGAGGGGGCGGGCCCGGUCCUGCAGCCAAUCCAUCCCUUUUUGCGUGACCCCAGACAGGCAGCCACGGCUGUUCUCACACACUGACCCCAUUCGGCAGGCGACAUUAUUGUUCCCGCGUUCCAGACUGGGCCACAGGCUUGGGAACAUCGGCUCCCUCGCCCACACCAUCCAGCUGUAACCCGCAAAA